UGUUGAAAAAUAAUGUUUAUAUAAAAUUGACACAUCUCAAAAGAACCAUAUAAAAUAAUAGUUAUGUGUCUUGUUUAAAUAAUUUGAUAAAAUAUAAUACUUUAUAAUAAUUAGAGACAUAAAAUGUAUGUUAAUCAAAAUAUAAAAGAUUAUAAUUAUAACAUUAACAAAACGGAUUUGAAUAAUGCUAUAAAAAAUAAAUAUAUAAAUUAUGAGAACCACACGGAUGUUCAUAAAAAUAUGUCGAAUAUUUCAUCUGAUGAAUAUUAUAUAAUGCCAGGAGAAAGACAUGUAAAUGAUAUAUAUCUAAGUACUACUAUGGCAACUGCUAUGGCAACUACUACAACAACUGCUGCUGCAUCAACUGCUGCUACAACAAAUAAAUAUAACAAUAACCACAGCUGUGACCGUUUUAGCAAUAGUAAACACAAUGACACUUGUAGUAACACAACUUUGAUCAAUAGCGUCAACAACAAUGCAAGUGAAAGUAGUAGCAACAAUGACGAUAUAAACACACAUGAGGUACAUAAUAACAAGUAUAAUAAUUUUUUUAGAAAUGUUGAAAAAGGAAUAAAAUAUACAAAUCAGAAUUAUACCACAUUACCUAAACAAUACAAAUAUGAUACAGAAACAUGUGCUCACUCUGACUUCAUAAAGAUAAAUAGAAACGACAAUAUAGACAAUUACAAACACUAUUACCAUGAUUAUGAUAACUAUACGGAUAUUAUGUAUAAAUAUAACAAUGACAGAAACAGUGUAUAUAAAUACAACAGCGAUACCAGCUGUAACAAUAACAAAAGAGAAUAUUUCCAAUGUAGAGAAACUAGCACUGUUGAUAGUCGUUUUUCUGAUUAUAUGAUGAAAGAAGAAAAAAAUAAAAACUCACUAAAAAAUAAUAGUAACUCCCUAAAAAAUAAUAUUAACACAUUACCAUUACAUUAUUAUGAUAAAAUUUUAAAUAGUAAUUGUUCACUUAGUAAUGAUAAAAAAGAAAAAAACAUUUUUAGUAAUUUACAAAGUGAUACAUAUAACAGCACACAAAUCGAUAUAAACAAUAAUAAUAAUAGUACGAAGGGAUCCAAGAUAUAUCAAAUUUUUAGCAACUUAAAUAGGAA
rnacentral:lncRNA from 1 species